GACGAACGCUGGCGGCGUGCUUAACACAUGCAAGUCGAACGGAAAGGCCCUGCUUUUGUGGGGUGCUCGAGUGGCGAACGGGUGAGUAACACGUGAGUAACCUGCCCUUGACUUUGGGAUAACUUCAGGAAACUGGGGCUAAUACCGGAUAGGAGCUCCUGCUGCAUGGUGGGGGUUGGAAAGUUUCGGCGGGUGGGGAUGGACUCGCGGCUUAUCAGCUUGUUGGUGGGGUAGUGGCUUACCAAGGCUUUGACGGGUAGCCGGCCUGAGAGGGUGACCGGCCACAUUGGUACUGAGAUACGGCCCAGACUCCUACGGGAGGCAGCAGGGGGGAAUAUUGCACAAUGGGCGGAAGCCUGAUGCAGCAACGCCGCGUGCGGGAUGACGGCCUUCGGGUUGUAAACCGCUUUCGCCUGUGACGAAGCGUGAGUGACGGUAAUGGGUAAAGAAGCACCGGCUAACUACGUG
rnacentral:rRNA from 1 species